GCUGGGAUAGCUCAGUCAGUAGAGCAUGAGACUCCUAAUAUCAGGGUUGUGGGUUUGAGCCCCAUGCUAGGCG